rnacentral:tRNA from 1 species
UAGUUCAGUUGGUUAGAAUACCGGCCUGUCACGCCGGGGGUCGCGGGUUCGAGCCCCG